UACAGAGGGGGCAAGCGUUAAUCGGAAUUACUGGGCGUAAAGCGUGCGUAGUCGGUUAUUUAAGUCGGAUGUGAAAUCCCCGGGCUCAACCUGGGAAUUGCAUUCGAUACUGGAUAGCUAGAGUUCGGCAGAGGGAAGCGGAAUUUCUGGUGUAGCGGUGAAAUGCGUAGAUAUCAGAAGGAACAUCAGUGGCGAAAGCGGCUUCCUGGACCAGAACUGACGAUCAGGCACGAAAGCGUGGGGAGCAAACAGG
rnacentral:rRNA from 1 species